UACAGAGGCCUCGAGCGUUAGGCGGAAUCACUGGGCUUAAAGCGUGUGUAGGCGGACCGUUAAGUACCUUGUGAAAUCCCCCGGCUCAACCGGGGAACGGCUGGGUAUACUGGCGGUCUUGAGCCAUCCAGGGGCAGUCGGAACAGACGGUGGAGCGGUGAAAUGCGUAGAUAUCGUCUGGAACGCCGAAGGUGAAAACAGACUGCUGGGGAUGAGCUGACGCUGAGACACGAAAGCCAGGGGAGCGAACGGG
rnacentral:rRNA from 1 species